GACGAACGCUGGCGGCGUGCCUAAUACAUGCAAGUAGAACGCUGAAGGAGGAGCUUGCUCUUCUGGAUGAGUUGCGAACGGGUGAGUAACGCGUAGGUAACCUGCCUGGUAGCGGGGGAUAACUAUUGGAAACGAUAGCUAAUACCGCAUAACAGUAGAUACCGCAUGAUAGCUGCUUGAAAGGUGCAAUUGCACCACUACCAGAUGGACCUGCGUUGUAUUAGCUAGUUGGUGAGGUAACGGCUCACCAAGGCAACGAUACAUAGCCGACCUGAGAGGGUGAUCGGCCACACUGGGACUGAGACACGGCCCAGACUCCUACGGGAGGCAGCAGUAGGGAAUCUUCGGCAAUGGACGGAAGUCUGACCGAGCAACGCCGCGUGAGUGAAGAAGGUUUUCGGAUCGUAAAGCUCUGUUGUAAGAGAAGAACGAGUGUGAGAGUGGAAAGUUCACC
rnacentral:rRNA from 1 species